rnacentral:rRNA from 1 species
GUCGAACGCAGUAGCAAUACUGAGUGGCAAACGGGUGAGUGUAAUGUGGGUAUCUGCCUUUUGGUUUGGAAUAACAUGAGGAAACUUAUGCUAAUACCGAAUAAGCCUUCACAGGGAAAGUUUUAACGCCGAAAGAUGAGCCCGCACUUGAUUAGUUUGUUGGUGAGGUAAUGGCUCACCAAGACAAUUAUCAAUAGCUGGUCUGAGAGGACGAUCAGCCACAUUGGGACUGAGACACGGCCCAGACUCCUACGGGAGGCAGCAGUAAGGAAUCUUGCACAAUGGGGGAAACCCUGAUGCAGCGAUGCCGCGUGAGUGAAGAAGGCCCUUGGGUUGUAAAACUCUUUCGUCGGGGAAGAAAAUGACUGUACCCGAAUAAGAAGGUCCGGCUAACUUCGUGCCAGCAGCCGCGGUAAUACGAAGGGACCUAGCGUAGUUCGGAAUUACUGGGCUUAAAGAGCUCGUAGGUGGUUAAAAUAGUUGAUGGUGAAAUCCCAAGGCUCAACCUUGGAACUGCCAUCAAAACUUUUUAGCUAGAGUGUGAUAGAGGAAAGUGGAAUUU